AACGAACGCUGGCGACAUGCCUAACACAUGCAAGUCGAACGAGAUCUUCGGGUCUAGUGGCGCACGGGUGCGUAACGCGUGGGAAUCUGCCCUUUGGUUCGGAAUAACAGUUGGAAACGACUGCUAAUACCGGAUGAUGACGAAAGUCCAAAGAUUUAUCGCCAGAGGAUGAGCCCGCGUAGGAUUAGCUAGUUGGUGUGGUAAAGGCGCACCAAGGCGACGAUCCUUAGCUGGUCUGAGAGGAUGAUCAGCCACACUGGGACUGAGACACGGCCCAGACUCCUACGGGAGGAAGCAGUGGGGAAUAUUGGACAAUGGGCGAAAGCCUGAUCCAGCAAUGCCGCGUGAGUGAUGAAGGCCUUAGGGUUGUAAAGCUCUUUUACCCGGGAUGAUAAUGACAGUACCGGGAGAAUAAGCUCCGGCUAACUCCGUGCCAGCAGCCGCCGUAA
rnacentral:rRNA from 1 species